GACGAACGCUGGCGGCGUGCCUAAUACAUGCAAGUUGAGCGCUGAAGGUUGGUACUUGUACCGACUGGAUGAGCAGCGAACGGGUGAGUAACGCGUGGGGAAUCUGCCUUUGAGCGGGGGACAACAUUUGGAAACGAAUGCUAAUACCGCAUAAAAACUUUAAACACAAGUUUUAAGUUUGAAAGAUGCAAUUGCAUCACUCAAAGAUGAUCCCGCGUUGUAUUAGCUAGUUGGUGAGGUAAAGGCUCACCAAGGCGAUGAUACAUAGCCGUCCUGAGAGGGUGAUCGGCCACAUUGGGACUGAGACACGGCCCAAACUCCUACGGGAGGCAGCAGUAGGGAAUCUUCGGCAAUGGACGAAAGUCUGACCGAGCAACGCCGCGUGAGUGAAGAAGGUUUUCGGAUCGUAAAACUCUGUUGGUAGAGAAGAACGUUGGUGAGAG
rnacentral:rRNA from 1 species